AUUCAACUGUUACGUGAUAUGUGAUUUAUUCUAACAAUAUAUUAAUUUUUUAACUGAAAUUUUGGAAUGCAUUUAUUUACAUAUACAUUUUUACAGCCAAUUUGUGAAAUAAAUCAUGUAGUUGAGACUUAUUUACAAUGGGUGCCACUGGAUUUUAAUGUUUAUUUUUGAUAAUUAGAAAGAAAAUCUUCAAAUUAAAUAUUUGUUAUUUAACAAUCUUCCCAAAAUCUCUCUACAUUAACUACACGAUUAGUUACUAAAAUAAAAAUUCCAAAAUAUUUAAUAUCAU
rnacentral:sRNA from 1 species